UCAGGCCUAACACAUGCAAGUCGUACGAGGUGUAAAUAAUUCACUUGUGAAUUGUUUAUUACUACAGUGGCGCACGGGUGAGUAACACGUAAGAACCUGCCUUUUGGAGGGGGAUAACAUAGGGAAACCUUUGCUAAUACCCCAUAAAGCUGAGGAGCUAAAUCGCAUUUGCGGCCAAGAGAGGGGCUUGCGCCUGAUUAGCUAGUUGGGGAGGUAAUGGCUUCCCAAGGCCACGAACAGUAGUUGGUCUGAGAGGAUGAUCAGCCACACUGGGACUGAGACACGGCCCAGACUCCUACGGGAGGCAGCAGUGAGGAAUUUUCCGCAAUGGGCGAAAGCCUGACGGAGCAAUACCGCGUGAAGGAAGAAGGAUCGUGGCCUGUAAACUUCUUUUCUCGAGAAGAAGAU
rnacentral:rRNA from 1 species